GUACUUCUAUGUCUCUGUUUCUUAGUGCUGUGGUCUGGCUUCUUGGUAGUUUUGAGCUACCAAAAAUAGAUGUAGAUUGGACCCAAGACGGUCUUGAUUAGGCUGAGGCCUUAAUAUCUUUAUUAAUCAGUUGCUUAUAAAACCUUUAUCAAUGACACAGUAGUAUGAUUUAAUCCUUUAUUUCUUAGUGGCUUUGAAUUGGAAAAUUUUGUAAAUGAAAACCAAAAUGAUCAUUAAGUGCUCUUUUCUUUUAUGAUGAUUCCCAUCCUAGAAUAAAUUUUUGUACUUUAUAGUUAGCAUAGUGUAACGGUAAAGUUUCUCGUGACCUGGAGGUCACAGAUUCGAAUCACGGAAACAAUCUCUUUGCAAAGCAGGGUUAAGGCUGCUGCAUCAACCCUCCCUAGAGCCCAUAAUUGUCAGAU
rnacentral:misc_RNA from 1 species